CGAAUACAAAAUGCUAAGGCGUUGAAGUAGCGUAUGUCAUGCUUCCAAGAAAAGCUUGCACUGUCAUAGAUAAAAAAUGCCUGUACCAUAACCGACACAGGUAGGUAGGUAGAGUAUACUAAGGGGCGCGAGAUAACUCUCUCUAAGGAACUCGGCAAAAUAACUCCGUAACUUCGGGAGAAGGAGUGCCUUAUUCAGAUAAGGUUGCAAUAACAAGAUCCAAGCAGCUGUUUACCAAAAACACAGGUCUCCGCUAAGUCGUAAGACGAUGUAUGGGGGCUGACGCCUGCCCAGUGCCAGAAGGUUAAAGAAGUUGGUUAGCAUUUGCGAAGCUGAUAACUGAAGCCCUGGUGAACGGCGGCCGUAACUAUAACGGUCCUAAGGUAGCGAAAUUCCUUGUCGGGUAAGUUCCGACCUGCACGAAAGGCGUAAUGAUUUGGAUACUGUCUCGGAGAGAGGCUCGGUGAAAUAGACUUGUCUGUGAAGAUGCGGACUACCUGCACCUGGACAGAAAGACCCUAUGAAGCUUUACUGUAACUUGAAAUUGGAAUUGGACUUUAUUCGCGCAGUAUAGGUGGGAAGCGUUGAAAAUACUCUUGCGGGAGUAUUGGAGCUAUCAGUGAGAUACCACUCUUAUAAUGUUAGAUUUCUAACUUUGAGCCAUUAUCUGGUCAAAGAACAGUUUCAGGCGGGCAGUUUGACUGGGGCGGUCGCCUCCCAAACGGUAACGGAGGCGUACAAAGGUUUCCUCUGAACGAAUAGAAAUCGUAUCUAGAGUAUAAAGGCAAAAGGAAGCUUGACUGUGAGACCUACAAGUCGAGCAGGGACGAAAGUCGGUCUUAGUGAUCUGACGGUACUGAGUGGAAAGGCCGUCACUCAACGGAUAAAAGUUACUCUAAGGAUAACAGGCUGAUCUCCCCCAAGAGUUCACAUCGACGGGGAGGUUUGGCACCUCGAUGUCGGCUCAUCGCAUCCUGGGGCGGUAGUACGUCCCAAGGGUUGGGCUGUUCGCCCAUGAAAGCGGUACGCGAGCUGGGUUCAGAACGUCGUGAGACAGUUCGGUCCAUAUCCGGUGUAGGCGUUAGAAUAUUGAGAGGAGCCUUCUCUAGUACGAGAGGACCGAGAAGGACAUACCUCUGGUGUACCAGUUAUCGUGCCAACGGUAAACGCUGGGUAGCUAUGUAUGGAGUGGAUAACCGCUGAAAGCAUCUAAGUGGGAAGCCCACCUCAAGAUGAGUAUUCUCAUCACGUAAGUGAGUAAGGUCACGGUAAGACUAACCGUUUGAUAGGCAUCAAGUGUAAGUACAGUAAUGUAUGACCCUUGGACCGUUUCGACGCCUCUGAGGAGCUGAGAUGU
rnacentral:rRNA from 1 species